rnacentral:rRNA from 1 species
GAUCUCUUCGGAGUGACGUGUUGGACGCUAGCGGCGGAUGGGUGAGUAACACGUGGGCAAUCUGCCCUAAAGACUGGGAUACCACUUGGAAACAGGUGCUAAUACCGGAUAACAAUGAUGGUUGCAUGACCAUUAUUUGAAAGGCGGCGCAAGCUGUCACUUUAGGAUGAGCCCGCGGUGCAUUAGCUAGUUGGUGAGGUAACGGCUCACCAAGGCCAUGAUGCAUAGCCGAGUUGAGAGACUGAUCGGCCACAUUGGGACUGAGACACGGCCCAAACUCCUACGGGAGGCAGCAGUAGGGAAUCUUCCACAAUGGACGCAAGUCUGAUGGAGCAACGCCGCGUGAGUGAAGAAGGUUUUCGGAUCGUAAAGCUCUGUUGUUGGUGAAGAAGGAUGUGAGUAGCAACUGGCUCAUAUUUGACGGUAAUCAACCAGAAAGUCACGGCUAACUACGUGCCAGCAGCCGCGGUAAUACGUAGGUGGCAAGCGUUGUCCGGAUUUAUUGGGCGUAAAGCGAGCGCAGGCGGAAUGAUAAGUCUGAUGUGAAAGCCCACGGCUCAACCGUGGAACUGCAUCGGAAACUGUCAUUCUUGAGUGCAGAAGAGGAGAGUGGAACUCCAUGUGUAGCGGUGGAAUGCGUAGAUAUAUG